UUUCGGACCCGGGUAUGUCCUUAAACUACGUCCAAAAGAAAGGUAUGGGCACUGUGAAUGACAUCUCGCUUUGUGUGGGCACAGGACAGCGGAUGUCAUUCCAGAUCUAGAGCAGAGCCCAACUGGGGAAGUACCUCCACCUUACAGAAAACCGCAGCCAAAUAACACUAGAUCCUACUCAUAGUGUUGUGUUCCU